UACAAGCAGUGGGAGCACAGGUUUACCUGUGUGACUGCGUACCUUUUGUAUAAUGGGUCAGCGACUUAUAUUCUGUAGCAAGGUUAACCGUAUAGGGGAGCCGUAGGGAAACCGAGUCUUAACCGGGCGUUAAGUUGCAGGGUAUAGACCCGAAACCCGGUGAUCUAGCCAUGGGCAGGUUGAAGGUUGGGUAACACUAACUGGAGGACCGAACCGACUAAUGUUGAAAAAUUAGCGGAUGACCUGUGGCUGGGGGUGAAAGGCCAAUCAAACCGGGAGAUAGCUGGUUCUCCCCGAAAGCUAUUUAGGUAGCGCCUCGUGAAUUCAUCUCCGGGGGUAGAGCACUGUUUCGGCUAGGGGGCCAUCCCGGCUUACCAACCCGAUGCAAACUGCGAAUACCGGAGAAUGUUAUCACGGGAGACACACGGCGGGUGCUAACGUCCGUCGUGAAGAGGGAAACAACCCAGACCGCCAGCUAAGGUCCCAAAGUCAUGGUUAAGUGGGAAACGAUGUGGGAAGGCCCAGACAGCCAGGAUGUUGGCUUAGAAGCAGCCAUCAUUUAAAGAAAGCGUAAUAGCUCACUGGUCGAGUCGGCCUGCGCGGAAGAUGUAACGGGGCUAAACCAUGCACCGAAGCUGCGGCAGCGACACUAUGUGUUGUUGGGUAGGGGAGCGUUCUGUAAGCCUGCGAAGGUGGCCUGUGAGGGUUGCUGGAGGUAUCAGAAGUGCGAAUGCUGACAUAAGUAACGAUAAAGCGGGUGAAAAGCCCGCUCGCCGGAAGACCAAGGGUUCCUGUCCAACGUUAAUCGGGGCAGGGUGAGUCGACCCCUAAGGCGAGGCCGAAAGGCGUAGUCGAUGGGAAACGGGUUAAUAUUCCCGUACUUGGUGUUACUGCGAAGGGGGGACGGAGAAGGCUAUGUUGGCCGGGCGACGGUUGUCCCGGUUUAAGCGUGUAGGUGUGUGUUCCAGGUAAAUCCGGUUCACUUUAACACUGAGGCGUGACGACGAGGCACUACGGUGCUGAAGCAACAAAUGCCCUGCUUCCAGGAAAAGCCUCUAAGCAUCAGGUAACAUCAAAUCGUACCCCAAACCGACACAGGUGGUCAGGUAGAGAAUACCAAGGCGCUUGAGAGAACUCGGGUGAAGGAACUAGGCAAAAUGGUGCCGUAACU
rnacentral:rRNA from 1 species